UACGUAGGGGGCAAGCGUUGUCCGGAAUUAUUGGGCGUAAAGAGCUCGUAGGCGGCCUGUCGCGUCGGUUGUGAAAGCCCGGGGCUUAACCCCGGGUCUGCAGUCGAUACGGGCAGGCUAGAGUUCGGUAGGGGAGAUCGGAAUUCCUGGUGUAGCGGUGAAAUGCGCAGAUAUCAGGAGGAACACCGGUGGCGAAGGCGGAUCUCUGGGCCGAUACUGACGCUGAGGAGCGAAAGCGUGGGGAGCGAACAGG
rnacentral:rRNA from 1 species